GAUGAACGCUAGCUACAGGCUUAACACAUGCAAGUCGAGGGACCGGCGCAGGGGUGAGUAACACGUAUACAACCUGCCCUUUACUCGGGGAUAGCCUUUCGAAAGAAAGAUUAAUACCCGAUAUAAAGGAUGGGGAUGCGUUCCAUUAGGUUGUUGGUGAGGUAACGGCUCACCAAGCCUUCGAUGGAUAGGGGUUCGGAGAGGAAGGUCCCCCAAAUUGGAACGGAGGCCCGGGCCAAACUCGUACGGGAUGCAGCAGUGUGGAAUAUUGGUCAAUGGGCGCUAGCCUUAACCAGCCAAGUAGCGUGAAGGAUGAAGGCUUAUGGGUCGUAAACUUCUUUUAUAUAAGAAUAUGUAUUAUAUGAAUAAGGAUCGGCUAACUCCGUGCCAGCCGCCGCGGUAAUAC
rnacentral:rRNA from 1 species